rnacentral:rRNA from 1 species
UGAGGAAUAUUGGUCAAUGGGCGGAAGCCUGAACCAGCCAAGUAGCGUGCAGGAAGACGGCCUUUAGGGUUGUAAACUGCUUUUAUGCGGGAAUAAAGUUCUCCACGUGUGGAGAUUUGCAUGUACCGCAUGAAUAAGGACCGGCUAAUUCCGUGCCAGCAGCCGCGGUAAUACGGAAGGUCCGGGCGUUAUCCGGAAUUAUUGGGUUUAAAGGGAGCGUAGGCCGGCUUGUAAGUCAGUUGUGAAAACCGCGGGCUCAACCUGCGGCGUGCAAUUGAAACUGCAGGCCUUGAGUGCGCGCAGGGAUGCUGGAAUUCGUGGUGUAGCGGUGAAAUGCUUAGAUAUCACGAAGAACUCCGAUCGCGAAGGCAGGUGUCCGGCGCGUCACUGACGCUGAGGCUCGAAGGUGCGGGUAUCAAACAGG